CAGCCUUAUUCCAUUUGCGCAGCUACACGGAUUCCCUACAAGCUGUCCUCUGAGAUACUGCAGCUUACUGCCUCCACAGCCAGUGGAAGAAACCUGCCCUUCAGCAUUUACAGGAGUGUAUUGUUUAAUAGGAUUAUAUUUAAAUUUCUAUAAAGGUUGUCAAUCCAAUGCUUAUGACUCAGAAUGGAAAAUUCCUCUGAGAAAGACUUCAUUUAACCAGCGACCUGCAGAUGCAGAGUGAGAGCAGAACACUAAAGAGAGGUUAUGAAUUUUUUUAAGCUAACCAGCUUUCCACCCUGGCUGCAACAGUCUUCUUACCUCUUAUGAAAUGUGGUAGAGAUGGUCUUCUAUUGGAAAUUGCUAAAUAGAAUGAAAAAACCUUUUGUCAAGUCCUGUUAGAUGUAUUUUGUCAUCUAUUUUCUAUUCAGAGCAAUUUCACCACAGCAGACUAAACAAAGACUUAAAUUAAUAUUGGGCAGACUUGUUUAGUAGCUACUGUCCACUGCUCUCUAACAGACGCUGAAUCGUUUAUUACUUUUAUACAACUUAAAAUGGCAGAUUGUGAAUUCAUCCAGUGACUGCUUUUAUUGUUACUUCUUAGACGCCUGCAAAACUCAUAAGAACAGAAAAUGUAAAGAGAUUUUCUGAAUUACUGAGUCCCAUCCUACGGUGCUAAAAGCAACUCUACAGAAUCCCUUUGAUAAAUGUCUCAAGCUCCAGGUAAAAGGUGGUUUCUUUCUUUUGCCCCCACUUAACCCUGCUGGAGAAAUGGUACAGACUGUCCUCACAAUUAGGAAUCUGUACAUUUCUGUCUAAAUGUAUUUAUUAUUAAUUUCUAACCAUUUUCUUUUGAGCCCUUUUCUUUCAAGAAGGCAUUUCUUCCCUGAGAUAUUUCUCAUAAAGUCUCUCAUCUAAUAAACAAGGAUGCAGUCAGUGUGGAUCAUUUAAUAAUUACAUGUAGCCAUAGAAUGGAUACAUGUGUAGAUCGCUCCAAAAGUAAUGCCUCCUACUUAUACCCAUGGAAGCUACAACAGCUACAGAGUAUGAUAAGAGUAGUUGAUAGAGCACGUUCUCAGCUACAAAAUUCAUCUUCUUGAAAAUGGGCAGACAGAAUCACAUGCAUUAUUUCCAGUCAGGUAAACUAGGGCCUUUACAACUGUACUAACACCUCCUUGGCUUUAGUAGCAGGCUCUUCCCUUGAAGUCCACGUGGCUUGCAUUUGCCCACCCAAGUCUCCAUGCUGGCAGCUCUGCACCAUGCUCACUUUCCUCAGCUGAGACACUUAAGCACAGCACUUCUUCCUACCGAAUUUCAUCUCGCUCCUAUGACUCAUCCUCAAAGCCAAAGUGUUCUUUCUGUCUGAUGUUUUGAUUCUCCUCAUAUGUGAAGACAAUAAAUAAUAGAUAAAGACAGCUCAUGUUGCAAAAUUAAAUAGGCUGCAGGUUAUGGAUUGCAGCACUUCUGAAAUCAAACACAUGUGACUAUAGAGACUUUGGCAAACAUUCUGUAUAUUCAAGAACAAUAUUAAAAACUGAGUAUGUCAUUAUUUUGUCAAAAUCAUUUUUCGGUGUAAGUAUGAAUUGAUUUUGUCUUUUCUUUUGGAGGUUUACAGUUCACGCAUUUAUUCCAGUCAGUCUACCUUAUACCAUACCUUAGGCAACCAGCGAACAAGGAAUUAGUGUGAAAGACAUCUCCAUACAACAGAGAUCUGCACAGUGCACUCUUUCACCCUUGACCUUGCAUGCAAAUGUAGCCAGAAAAGGAAGCAAAGACACAGUGCAGCAGUCAAACACACUUACACCUGCUUUGGACACUGUGAUUCAGGAAUACUUGGUUUGACAUUUUGGGUGAUAGAGCACCACAAAACUGACCCAACUGAGUUAUGCUGUGGUUGUAACCACGAACCCAGAAAAGAAAGUGUUUUUAUUUCUUAUGAUUACACACUGGAAUCCAGCUAGCAUUAACAAGCAGGAAAACGUAGUGACUAAAAGCUGCCUUCUCCUCUCACUCUAAGGGUAAGAUUUCUCAUAUUUUCUAGCUUUGAGACAUUUUAGAAAUGAUCACUGUAGAUAACAGAAAUCAAAACAAAAGCCGACUGCAAUGUGGGAUUAUUAAAAAUGAUACUGACUUAUUCCUUCUAAUUAGAACAAAUGACUUUCUACUACAGUUAAAAAGAACUUAGUUGCUAGCAAGUUGAGAGCAAAAUUAAACCCCUCAGAAGCAAACACCGUGCAGGCUAUGCUUAUGGAAAAUUAUUCUCACAGUAAUCAGCUGUACAUGCUGACACACUUGUUCUUUUCUGGUUGCCUAGUUGUCUACCAACCUCCCCUGGCUCCACGCCAUGACCUCUGUGAAAGAUCUGCUACAGCAGUAGCAAGUAUUUUCCCAGAAAGUCUCAUUAACUGUGCUGUGGCUUCUAGCUCACAAAUGGUUCUUGGUCUUAUCUCAAUUAUUGUGAAAGUGUUUUAAAUGAAGAUACUUGGUUUCAUUUUUAAAUUGAUACAAGAAAAUCCAAGGCCAAGAAAUCGAACUGGACAGAGCAGGUCAGCACAGCAUGUUAUGCAGUAUGAGCAAACACUGAAAAGUAAGUCCGAAGUUACAAUUUCUAACACAUGCAGUUCCAGCCCUCUUAAAAUCCACAAAAAUACCUCAUCAGCUGAAAAAUUAUAGGUUUGAAACAGAUAGAUAUAUUUGAACAAAAUUGAUGGUUGGCUUGAAGCGCUGUAGUGCCUGCAAAAAAACAAAAAACAAAAAACAAAAAACAAACAAACAAAAAAAAAGCGGUACAUACAUAUCUUCCAAAACCCAUUUGUUGCAAACAAGCAUAGAAAAAAAAAUCAAUUAAAGGAACUUAAAUAAAUGUCUCUACUUCAGUUUGUAGCCUACAGCGCUGGCAUUUAUCCACGCUGGUUUUAAGAGGCAAGAUGCAGAUGUCCCCCUCAAAGUUUAAUGCCUCCUCCCUUGACACAGCCUCUGGGUUCUCAUAGGUAUUUGUGAGGCACCAAGGCAUCAGACCAGGACGGGGCUUCAGGCACUACUGCGCUACAGACACAGCAAUAUUUUAGCUAAUACUCACUAAGAGAAAAAAAAAAUAAAAAAUUAAAAAAAAAUGAGUAGUUCUCAUCAAAUUAGCAACUUCUACUUCUUUGCAAGGAGCACGACUUUGUUGGCAAGCAUGAAUAAAGUGGCAGAUAUUCAUGUAAUGCGCUGAUACCAUGUCUACCAUCUUAAUAUAGCAUGGAAAGAGUCUUUAAUUGAAUGUAACAAUAGGGCAGACAAAAAAAUACCAAUCAGAGUAACUUGCCUGCCUAUCUAAAUUCUAGAUAUUCCUUAGUUCUAACAGAAAUUUGAUUAGCUUUACUUACCAGGAUGCAUUCAAACAUAAAGAUUUUUAGGCUUCUUACUUCUGUGGUAGAAAACAAGGCAGACUGCAGGUUGUCUUGCUGAUGCACCAUAUACGUAAACAGCAGUCAAUUGCACAUAGUUUUGAAAAAGUUUGAUGGUUUUCAUCCAUCUUCUCAUGACAGUUUGCUAUACUUUCCAUUUCAUUUUGCUUAUAUACUAUUAAGCUUCUCUAUUUGUUAAGUGUGUUCUCUUUUUCCUCUAAAAACAAUUUGGGUCACCACACCAGAGGCUGUAGUUGGCCUGGAGCUGACAUAAAUAAUCUUGAACAAAAAAAUCAGGCUGAUCAAGAUAUGCAUGUUCUCAGUUUUGCUUUAUGAGGUGGAGCAACAAGCCUUCAAAAAUGAUAAUAUGUGAAGACUGCUGCUCUUUCUUUUCUUUUCUUUUUUCCCCUUUCAACAUUUGCAUUAACUAGCAAAACCACACGGACAAGAUGAUUAAAGAAGCUCUAACACAUAAGAGACAGCUUGAAGCAGCAGCAAAACCCUAGGUCUGGAUCUUUCUGCUAGAUGAAGGCUGAUUCUUGAUGGAAUCUGGCUCUUCAACCUUACUGGAGGGCAGCAGAAGAACAACAUGGCAUACCCUAGAGCUGCAGUGAGGAUCUGGUUUUGUAAGGCCCAGAACAACACCAUCAGGAACACUAUCAGGAACCAAGUAAACAAUUUACAGCUGAAAAGGAGGUCUAGAGAAGACACAAGAAACAAAGAUUCAAGUAACAGGCGCUACAAGUGAAGAAAAAGUUCUAGCUGGCACACACGUCAGCAUUUGUGCAAGAAAUGAAAGAACAUAUUGUCCUACUGCAUGGGUUCUCAGGCUUCAGUCUGCUCACUCUAGCGGCAAGGAUGCUCUUCUGCUGGCCGGCCCUCAAAUGGAGGAUUCUUCUACUGACACAACAGUUCCAUACUUAUAAGGAGUUAGCAGAGGCUUUACUAAUUAAAAUCAAACUUAAUUGUCAACUUUCAAACUCAGUCAUCAACUUUGCAACAUCUGUGGCUGCUUCAUGUCCUCCUGUGACUGAAAAUCAUAGGAUAUACAUUCAAGACAGAGAAAAAAGACAUGAUAGACUUCAGAUCCUCUUUAUUCCAGGCUGUUACCCACCUGAAACGAAUGACAUAAAAUCUCAGUGAAAGGAAAUACAGCGACUGGACUUGAAAUGAGCUGUAACUUGAUGAUCCAGUUCCCUUCAGAGCAGGCUGGGAUUCCCAAAUGCUUCAUGGUUCAGUACACAGACAGAAGUGAAGGAACUUCUUCUGAGUAAAAUAGCUAAUAUGUUAAUUGUCAUUGAUUCAGUAAUAAUUUAAACCCAAAUCUCUUAAAUGAGGUCUAUGUAGAAAAAAAUAAUGUGGCUUACUGAAAAAGAGAACUUGUACCUUCACAGUUCAAAAACCAUUUUCAACCACAAUGAGAGUUCCCUUUUUUGGUUACCACAAGUGGUUUCGCAGUAAGUGGACUGGUUUUCUACAGGCCCAGCCAGAAAGGGUGCUGAGGGAAAGGGAGCCUUUCCUUUUCUCUUUUGGUCUGUUCUUCUGCCGCCCUGUUAACAUACUCCGAGUGUGGUGACACUAAUCACACAUUCACAAUUGUGAUCUCCCCCAGCCAUGUUUAUGUGGUUGCUGCAGUGAUGUUUGUGCCUGUACCAUACUGUUUCACUUGCCAUUGAAGAUGAGAUUGAAGACAGAAGUUAGUUAGGAUUUAUUUUUCAUUUUUAAAUUUCAUUUCCCUUUAAUCUUGCUUGCUAUUCAGUGUAAUCAACUGUUGCCUCAUGUUAUAGAAAAUAAGAGAACCACACUGUAUGACCUGAGGGAAAAAAAUCAAGAUUUGAGAAACACAGUGCUGCUAAAACAAACAAACAAACAAACAAACCAUACAUAAAUCCCCGGAGAACUAAUUUAUUGCAUUCAGACUGUUCAGAAAUUCAAAAAAACUCUGAAAUAUACAACAAUUCGUGGCUCUAGGGAAAGAAAUAGAAACUCUUCCUUACCUUUUUUGCAUCAUUUUCUAUUGCAGAACAUUAUUUCUGAAAUCGGGUUAAUAUUUAAGGUCUGAAACUCAACAUAACUUUAGACUAGUUAUGGAAUGCAAUUUUCAGCCUGAAAAAAAAAUACUGAGAGUUGUAACAGUCCACAUUUAAAGACAAACUUCAGAGAGACAAAAUUUCUGUGAAAGAUAAGUCUGCCAAGGAUCAUCAAAUCUGUUUAUUAAAUAUGCAUCUAUAUUUCAAACCUGUAAAAUCACGCCACUUAUUUAUAUUGAUAUGAGUACGUCACUUCCAAUGUACUUGUUGUGAACUGGCAUCAUUGAGGAAUAGAAAAAUACAAAUUAGUAGCUGCUUCCCACAUGUUUAGAGGCAUCAGGAGUGGGCAACGCAGUUUGAAGCUUCGUACUACAGUAGAAAAUUCAGAGGAAAGCUUAGGAUAAACAAUGACAGCAAUUUCUCUAAGAGGUCAGAAAGAGCACUGCAAUUUCUUCAAAAUAUAGUCAGAUAAUUCUGGUUGGUGGUUUUGCUCAAUAGAAUUUUGCUUGAAAUUGGAUAUUUUAUGCAGGAAUAGCAGCUUUUUGCUGAUAUUACUGCAAAUGUAAAUACUAAAGGCAUAAAUCUAUUUCUCUUUGAGUCCCUCGUACUCAUCACCAGAUAGUGAUAUUUCCAUUUCACCUCAGGACUCACUGCUUUGCUGUGAUACAAAAACAGAAACAGCUUUUGCAUAAUUAAUGAAACACAAGAUCUGAAAAUAGUCCUUUUUUCUUCCCUUUCCUGUCUACCCCAUUAAAAAACCAAACAAAACCCAAACAAUAGAGCCUGAAAGUUGAAGGCCCUUAAGAAUAGCUACAAGCCAGCUGGUGUCAGAAGAACAGCAUGAAGCAAAAAGCAUCACAACUAAAAUCAGGACUCUGUUUGAAUGGAAGGAUCUACACCGUGAGGAACAAAUAGGAAAAGUUACCAGAAAUGAGGAAAAGAGCAACAAAUGCAGCGGGGCAGAGAUAUGAGGAGAGUACCAGUACUGGUGAAAUGUGCAUUAUAUUUUUAGCUAUUUACACUGUAACCACCAAGACAGGUACUUACAUUUCACUGAAACAGGCUCUGGCUAUAAAAUAAUUGUUAUGCAAGGGGAAAAAAAAAAGUGCUUUGUAAAGUGCUUCCAUGUGUUUUAUCUCUUUACAUACAUUUUCAACAAACGGAAUGCUGCCAAUAUUCCUUAGCUAAAAUAUUUCCCCUUCUACUAAAAUAUGCACAUACUUACAUAGUAAAGAAAUGAAGACUGAAGAACCUACAACUGAUAAAAAUGCUUUGAAAGUAUGGAUUCCUAUUGUUUGUUCUUUCUUUACAGUAAAGACCCAUGCCACUUCUGUGAAAGCUUCAUGCCGAGUCCUGUAUAUGCAUAUACAUUUUUUUUUUUGCUGAAAGAUUGGGAUUUUCCACUACUCAUUCUUCCUUCUGUUUUAGGACAUAGUUACAUGCUCUUUUAAGUAUGGGAAAAGGGGCUGCCAUCUGUUUCUGCCUGACCUUUUGGAAGAUAUGAAGUCAGCAGAGCUUCAUACAAAGAUUUGUGUUCACAGGUUUUCCCCUGGUGUUUCUCUAGUUCCCUUCCUCCUGUGCUUCUUCAGUUCUUCUAAUACAAAGCAUAUCAGCAUGGGGGUGUUGCUUUGUCUUCCAGAUGGACAAUUGAUUUAUCAGAGGAGGUAAAACCAACAUAUCACAGAAUUGUAGCUGUAGGAAGGGACCUCUGGGGAUCAUCGAGUCCAACCUUCUGCUAAAGCAAGUUCCCUCACAUUUGUAUGGUACUUCCCGUGUUCCACUUUGUGCCUAUUGCCCCUUGUCCAGGUUCUGCACAACACUGAAAAAAAGCCCCAUCCAUUUGACUCCCACGUUUCAGAUAUUUACAAAUAGUGAUGAGAUCCCCUCUUAGUCUUCUCUUCUCUGGGCUGAAUAGUUCCUGGUCUUUCAGCCUUUCCUCAUAUGGGAGAUGCUCCAGGCUCCUCCUCAUCUUCUCUCUCUAGAAGUUCCUUGUCAUUCUUGAGCUGAGGAGCCCAGAACUGGACACAGUACUCCAGAUGUGGCCUCACCAGGGCAGAGAGGGAGGAUCACCUCCCUCGACCUGCUGGCCACGCUCUUUUUAAUGCACCCCAGAAUCCCACUGGUGUUCACUUUUGUCCUCACGAAGCGUGAGCAUUUCUUCCACGCAGCCAAAGACAGCCUGGGCACACAGCAGCUGAGCUCAGUGUCUUUGAGCUUUGAAUGCCUUCAGCCUCCAUCUGUGCUGGAUACCGACACGUGGGGUGAAGCAGGGCGAGAGAGCUCUGCUGCCAGCAGGCACUGCCUGUAAGUAGUGUUUCUUCCCAGCUCUGCUGCCAACAGGCACUGCCUGUAAGUAGUGUUUCUUCCCAGCAGCUUCCCCUGGGAGCUCACAGUUCCCACUGCCGCUUGCAGUGUUUUACCUCCAGCUGCACGGCAGUGCGAUGGCUGACACCCAUUCCUCCGCGCCCCCCCCUGUGUGACUGUGCAAAGAGAGGGAAUUGCUUCUGCACAGCAAGAACGCAUCAUUAACCCCCAACGUAAGCGUGUGGUAAUGCAAUUGAUAAUUUGCAUGGUGAACCACAAAGAGACAUUCUCCUUCCAAUGACAAAAGGUCACAAAGGUUUUUGAGUUACAAAUUAAACCACGCUUGACUCAAAACUGGACAGGAGCUCAGCUCCCGAGGUGCCGCACCACACGAAGCCGGGCUGCCCCGAGUCUCCACUGUGCUGUCCAACUUCACUUAACGUUAACGGCGUUUGCUGAGGGCUCCUAGCAGAGACCUCCUUUCUCCCCCAAGUGAAUGCUCCGUGGCCCCGCUCGUGCUUUACAGACCCGGGGCUGAGAGCUUUGCAGCCAGCGAGGGGCCCGGCCGGCUGACCCCGCGGCCUCAGGAGCACCGCAUCCCACUGUGUCUCUUCCUCAUUCCUGGCUCCUUCCUCUUCCUCCUGUCGCACUCCCCACCCCGCCGCAGCCGCCGGGCCGGCCGGGCAGGUAUUGAGGGCAGGGCUGGGCGGCUCUCCCCG
ensembl:lncRNA